rnacentral:rRNA from 1 species
UACGGAGGAUCCAAGCGUUAUCCGGAAUCAUUGGGUUUAAAGGGUCCGUAGGCGGUUUUGUAAGUCAGUGGUGAAAGCCCAUCGCUCAACGGUGGAACGGCCAUUGAUACUGACGGGCUUGAGUACAGACGAGGUAGGCGGAAUUGAUUGUGUAGCGGUGAAAUGCAUAGAUACAAUCAAGAACACCGAUUGCGUAGGCAGCUUACUAGGCUGUAACUGACGCUGAGGCACGAAAGCGUGGGGAGCGAACAGG